CAUUAAAACACCUGUUCUUGUAUGAUCACCGAAGUUAAGCAACUUCGAGUCUAGUCAGUACCUAAGUGGGUGACUGCUUGUGUAUACCAGGUGCUGUU